rnacentral:ncRNA from 1 species
UGGUUCGCUUGCGCUUGGGCGUGAGUGUCGUAAGAGGGAACCCGGUGUGAGUCCGGGACUGCCCCGCAGCGGUGAGCGGGAACGACCGCCGUCAUCACGCACUGGGCCACGCGGCCUGGGAAGCGACGGCCAGUAGGACGCCUCGGAGAGGCGAUGCCCGCGAGUCCGAAGACCUGCCU